rnacentral:lncRNA from 1 species
ACUCUCUUUCCUCUCCAAUCUCCGUCCUCUGUUGUUAGUUGUCAUCUCGAAGACCUUCAUUACCUUUUCCAAGCUGAAAUAGGUGCAGUUGAUGAUGUGUUACAAAUGUUUAUCCAGCAGCACCUAGGUCCAGAUGGUAGCUGUCCUCUUUCUGCAUAUAAUUAUGCUUUGUUGACCCAAACUGGCCUGAAACAAACUAUAAGAGCCACCUCCAAUCAAAACGGAUUUAAAGCUGCAAAACAGUUGGCGAAGAAGGCUUCUAGAGAACUCUUCGUUCAAAAAUUUUCCUGCAAAUCUCCGGUCUAUCACAACUUCAAAAUCUAUGCAAAUGAUGGACGUUUAUUGUGUCACUGUGAUCGCAAAAAACUUGAAUGGUCAGAUGACUUCUUUUUCUUCUUUCUUUCUUGUUCUUCUAAUUUAUGCAACCGACCCCUUGACCCCUAAAUUUUUUAAUAAAGCCUUUUUUUUUUUUUUUUUUUAAUUAUCUUUUGAUAAAACGUUUAGAUUCAGUUUAAUUUAGCCUCGCCACCCUUUUUAUCUUGAAACUCCUCUUAUCAGAGGAAGUAAGAAAAAGUGGAGAGUACUAAAUUGUAGGGACUCUAUCUGCGUUUCUUCAUGACUGGUCCCAAUUCUUGUUUGUCAUCGAUGUCCUUGAUAACAUGUUGCAGUUCUUAACUGAACUUUGACUUUUGAUGACUAACUUGGUUCCAUAACAAAUCAUUUCAGGCUCGUAUCCAUGAUGAGAGCUUGAGAUUUGUUUUAUCUGAGCGUGCCAUCAUUGCACUUGCAGCUAAAAGACCAACAACUGAAUUGGAUAUAUGUAGCACUAUAUCCGAAGCUGAUCCAGAUGUUGAAUUGAUGACUCUCUUUCCUCUCCAAUCUCCGUCCUCUGUUGUUAGUUGUCAUCUCGAAGACCUUCAUUACCUUUUCCAAGCUGAAAUAGGUGCAGUUGAUGAUGUGUUACAAAUGUUUAUCCAGCAGCACCUAGGUCCAGAUGGUAGCUGUCCUCUUUCUGCAUAUAAUUAUGCUUUGUUGACCCAAACUGGCCUGAAACAAACUAUAAGAGCCACCUCCAAUCAAAACGGAUUUAAAGCUGCAAAACAGUUGGCGAAGAAGGCUUCUAGAGAACUCUUCGUUCAAAAAUUUUCCUGCAAAUCUCCGGUCUAUCACAACUUCAAAAUCUAUGCAAAUGAUGGACGUUUAUUGUGUCACUGUGAUCGCAAAAAACUUGAAUG